UAGAGCUGGGCCCUGGCGGGCUGCCACGGGGGUGUCUGGCAGUCUCUCCUGGGUCUAGGGCUGUUCCUCUGAGGUCACGAGGUGGUCCUUCGGGUGUGUCUGGGGUAAGCCCCUCUAGAAUCUGGGGGCGGCCUCCCGGGGGCCAUACUGCAUCACGUAGUGGAGUUGGGAAGAUAAAACCAGCACGUGUAAUGUAAUACAUGACAAUGGAAGAUUCUACGUAAUUAAGGGUUAACUCUGAAAUCAGAAGACAAGUUUUCCAAGACUUGGGAAGGUGGAGAGAUCAGAGAUCAGUGAGAGAACAAAGAAUCGGAAUGUAUUAAUGGUAUGAUCUUCCGAGACAGGCCCCCCGCCACUGUUGGCACACAGGACACCCACCCAGCCUAUGGUCCUGUCUGUGGUUGGACAACAUAAUCAGAAUAACAGGGUCCAGAUGUCAGGGAUGGAAGUUGGAGAAAGAUGAGGCAGCAGCAGACACUUUCUCCUGUUGGCCUUAAAGAAGCAACCGCCUGUGCUGGGAGAGGGUCACUGGGCUGAGAUUGGUAGGUGGCUCUGGGAGCUGAGGGCCUAAACCUAUGACCACAAGGAACUGAAUUCAUCCCAAAGCCAGAGAGGUGGAAGACGACUCAGAAGAUGCAGAUGCCAAUGCCACAUCCUG
rnacentral:lncRNA from 1 species